CCUGGGAUUGACAGUGAACGGACCGCCCGUGAAAGCGGGUCUCCCUUCGGGGCCGUUCAAACAGAUGCUGCAUGGCUGUCGUCAGCUCGUGCCGUGAGGUGUUCGGUUAAGUCCGGCAACGAGCGCAACCCGUGCCGCCAGUUACCAUCGGGUAAAGCCGGGGACUCUGGCGGGACCGCCCAUGUCAAGUGGGAGGAAGGCGCGGAUGACGUCAAGUCCGUAUGGCUCUUACGCCCAGGGCCGCAAACGUGCUACAAUGGCCGGCACAGAGGGCAGCUUGACCGCGAGGUCCGGCGAAUCCCGAAAACCGGCCCCAGUUCGGAUUGCAGCCUGCAACUCGGCUGCAUGAAGUCGGAAUCGCUAGUAAAGGGGCAUCAGCCACGGCCCCUUGAAUACGUUCCCGGGCCUUGUACACACCGCCCGUCACAUCAUGGGAGCUGACUUCGCCCGAAGU
rnacentral:rRNA from 1 species